UGGGGAAUAUUGGACAAUGGGCGCAAGCCUGAUCCAGCCAUGCCGCGUGAGUGAUGAAGGCCCUAGGGUUGUAAAGCUCUUUCACCGGUGAAGAUAAUGACGGUAACCGGAGAAGAAGCCCCGGCUAACUUCGUGCCAGCAGCCGCGGUAAUACGAAGGGGGCUAGCGUUGUUCGGAUUUACUGGGCGUAAAGCGCACGUAGGCGGACUUUUAAGUCAGGGGUGAAAUCCCGGGGCUCAACCCCGGAACUGCCUUUGAUACUGGAAGUCUUGAGUAUGGUAGAGGUCAGUGGAAUUCCGAGUGUAGAGGUGAAAUUCGUAGAUAUUCGGAGGAACACCAGUGGCGAAGGCGGCUCACUGGACCAUUACUGACGCUGAGGUGCGAAAGCGUGGGGAGCAAACAGG
rnacentral:rRNA from 1 species